GACGAACGCUGGCGGCGUGCUUAACACAUGCAAGUCGAACGGAAAGGCCCUGCUUUUGUGGGGUGCUCGAGUGGCGAACGGGUGAGUAACACGUGAGUAACCUGCCCUUGACUUUGGGAUAACUUCAGGAAACUGGGGCUAAUACCGGAUAGGAGCUCCUGCUGCAUGGUGGGGGUUGGAAAGUUUCGGCGGUUGGGGAUGGACUCGCGGCUUAUCAGCUUGUUGGUGGGGUAGUGGCUUACCAAGGCUUUGACGGGUAGCCGGCCUGAGAGGGUGACCGGCCACAUUGGGACUGAGAUACGGCCCAGACUCCUACGGGAGGCAGCAGUGGGGAAUAUUGCACAAUGGGCGGAAGCCUGAUGCAGCAACGCCGCGUGCGGGAUGACGGCCUUCGGGCUGUAAACCGCUUUCGCCGGUGACGAAGCGUGAGUGACGGUAAUGGGUAAAGAAGCACCGGCUAACUACGUG
rnacentral:rRNA from 1 species